rnacentral:rRNA from 1 species
UACGUAGGGACCAAGCGUUGUUCGGAUUUACUGGGCGUAAAGCGCACGUAGGCGGCUUGGUAUGUCGGGUGUGAAAUCCCCGGGCUCAACCUGGGAACUGCAUCCGAAACUGCCUUGCUCGAGUAUGGGAGAGGGAAGUGGAAUUUCCGGUGUAGCGGUGAAAUGCGUAGAUAUCGGAAGGAACAUCAGUGGCGAAGGCGACUUCCUGGACCAAUACUGACGCUCAGGUGCGAAAGCGUGGGGAGCAAACAGG